rnacentral:rRNA from 1 species
GACGAACCACCCAAACGUUAUUCGGAAUUACUGGGCUUAAAGGGUGCGUAGGCGGUGCGGAAAGUUGGGUGUGAAAUCCCACGGCUCAACCGUGGAAGUGCACUCGAAACUGCAGGGCUAGAGUCCUGGAGAGGAAGGUGGAAUGCUUGGUGUAGAGGUGAAAUUCGUAGAUAUCAAGCGGAACACCGGUGGCGAAGGCGGCUCGCUGGACCUCUUCUGACGCUGAGGCGCGAAAGCCAGGGGAGCAAACGGG